rnacentral:tRNA from 1 species
UGGGGAUGUAGCUCAAAUGGUAGAGCGCUCGCUUUGCAUGCGAGAGGUACGGGGUUCGAUCGCCCGCAUCUCCAA